GGGGGCGCUAUUUGCAAUUGAUGGCGGAGUACUACGAUGGCCAUUCGCCCCACGGGCAGUUUUUCGAGCGCACCAUCCGAUACUGGGGCAUCGGUCUGCACUUCUAUUUCGACUGAAAGUUCCCCUUGCCGCGCGGCGGCGAGUGCGCUGAAUAUGCGAUGAUGAACCUGACGCCAAAGGCAUGGCGGGCCGGCCCAGCCCUGGCCUUCCUUCUCUUAACCUGUGGACUCAGCCUGGCCGCGGAGGAGGUGCCGAACUUCGCCCUGCUCGAUCACAACGGGAAGUACUACGAACUGCACCGGACCGAAGCGCCGGUCGUCGUGCUGUUCUUCACCGGGAAUGGGUGCCCGGUCGCGCGCCAAAGCAUUCCCAAAGUGCGCGAGCUGCGCCGGAAAUUCUCCGAGCAGGGCGUGGUGGUUUGGAUCGUUAAUUCCUAUUCCCAGGACGAUCGCGACAGCAUUCGCACGGAGGCCAAGAAGUUUCCGGUCGGCUCGUUGCCCGUUCUGCUGGACCAGAGCCAGGCGCUCGCCCUUAGCUUCGGGGUGCAGCGCACGACGGAAGCCAUUGCGAUCAGCACGAAGGAUUGGUCGGUGUUCUAUCGUGGCGCGAUCGAUGACCAAUUGACCGAGGGCGCCACCAAGCCAAACGCGACGGAGAAAUACCUCGAGACCGCGCUUCGGCAGCACCUGGCGGGAGAGCCCGUCACCCGCGCGAAGACCAUCGUGAAGGGAUGUCUCAUUGCCUAUGAGAAGGUGACUUCCGCCCCGGACGAGCAGGUGUCGUAUGCCAAACAAGUCGCGCCCAUCUUGCAAGCCAAGUGCACGGGGUGCCACAGCCCGGACAACAUCGGGCCGUUCGCUUAUUCGAGUUACGCGGUGGCGAAGAAGAAAUCCCGCAUGAUGGAAGAGGUUCUCCUGGCCCGGCGCAUGCCACCCUGGCACGCCGACCCGCACUACGGAAAGUUUCAGGGCGUGCGCUCGCUUGACACAGUCGAGAUGCAAACGCUUUUGCUCUGGGCCAAACAAGGCGCUCCGCGCGGGGAAGGCGAGGAUCCGCUCGCGGUCGCGACAUUGCCUGCCCCCGCGCCUUGGCCGCUGGGCGAGCCCGACUAUAUUGCGCGUUUUGCGCGCGCGGAGGAGGUCCCGGCGACCGGCGUCGUGGAAUAUCGCCACAUCAAGGUGGCGGCUCCGAACCCGGAGGAUGUCUGGCUCGGCGCCAUUGCGAUUCGGCCCGGCGCGCGGGAAGUCGUUCAUCACGUCGUGUUGCGGG
rnacentral:misc_RNA from 1 species